rnacentral:rRNA from 1 species
GACGAACGCUGGCGGCGUGCUUAACACAUGCAAGUCGAACGGAAAGGCCCUGCUUUUGUGGGGUGCUCGAGUGGCGAACGGGUGAGUAACACGUGAGUAACCUGCCCUUGACUUUGGGAUAACUUCAGGAAACUGGGGCUAAUACCGGAUAGGAGCUCCUGCUGCAUGGUGGGGGUUGGAAAGUUUCGGCGGUUGGGGGUGGACUCGCGGCUUAUCAGCUUGUUGGUGGGGUAGUGGCUUACCAAGGCUUUGGCGGGUAGCCGGCCUGGGAGGGUGAACGGCCACAUUGGGACUGAGAUACGGCCCAGACUCCUACGGGAGGCAGCAGUGGGGAAUAUUGCACAAUGGGCGGAAGCCUGAUGCAGCAACGCCGCGUGCGGGAUGACGGCCUUCGGGUUGUAAACCGCUUUCGCCUGUGACGAAGCGUGAGUGACGGUAAUGGGUAAAGAAGCACCGGCUAACUACGUG